UUCGGAGAGAACACGUUGGCUCCGAAGGGCAGAUCAAUUCCGGGAACCAACGCCUACAGAGUACCGCCUCUCCCUCCAGUCUCGUGUCUUACAAGGACAGAUGGAAGGGAAUGGCAUGCAGGGAGCUAGCCAUCUAGCUGUGGGGGGAUAGCAGAUGGACAUGUGGGACAGCCCAGACAAUGAGUGCUAAGGAGAACAUGACGGGAAAGAUGUUUAAUUCUUGCCAGAGGACGUUCUAUGGAUCGACUG
rnacentral:lncRNA from 1 species